rnacentral:rRNA from 1 species
AUGAUUAAAGAUAGCUUGCUAUUUUUAUGAAGAGCGGCGAACGGGUGAGUAACGCGUGGGAAAUCUGCCGAGUAGCGGGGGACAACGUUUGGAAACGAACGCUAAUACCGCAUAACAAUGAGAAUCGCAUGAUUCUUAUUUAAAAGAAGCAAUUGCUUCACUACUUGAUGAUCCCGCGUUGUAUUAGCUAGUUGGUAGUGUAAAGGACUACCAAGGCGAUGAUACAUAGCCGACCUGAGAGGGUGAUCGGCCACACUGGGACUGAGACACGGCCCAGACUCCUACGGGAGGCAGCAGUAGGGAAUCUUCGGCAAUGGGGGCAACCCUGACCGAGCAACGCCGCGUGAGUGAAGAAGGUUUUCGGAUCGUAAAACUCUGUUGUUAGAGAAGAACGUUAAGUAGAGUGGAAAAUUACUUAAG